CAGCCACACUGUCAUGUGCUACAUGCCCUGUCUAGAAUUCUUUAGUCCCUUUCUUCCUGUCACAGAAUAAAGCCCAAACUCUAGCCUGACACGGAUGUAUGGAACGAUGAAUCUCCUUUCCUCUACCCAGGACAGAAUAAUAAUGCCAACACCAUCAUAGAAGUAUAGACAGGAUUGAGUGAAUUGAAGGGGCCCUCUACUCAACAGCGCCUCUCGGUGGUGAGUCCUCCAUACAGGGCAGGUUGGCUUCCUGCUGCUCCUGAGGAAUCAGUCACAGUCUUUUUCAUGGUGGAGUCUUCUUUUACCUGGGACUCUAGCCUUGCAAAUACCUGACCCUAUCUUGUCUUUAGUCUUCCUUAUUCCUUUAGGUUCUGCCAGGCUAGGGGGCUUGUUCUUUCCUCCUAAUUCUGAAGACUUUCUAGUCCUGUUCUACAGUCUCAGAAUAGGUUAUAUAGUCGAAUUUCCUACCUAAAUGUGGGAAACCAUCCACGCACUGCCUUCCCGGGGGCCAUUAGCUUCUACUUGAGCGCUUUGAAUGCUGAUGAGCCAUACUUAGCCUGCUUGUUCCCAUUUUUUUCAACAGCUCUAAUUAAAUAAUGAAAACAUGCAAUUAUCUUUUUAGUCAUGACUGUCUUGCCUUUUUAAUAAAAAUUUCAGUUCUUUCACAGGAACAAAGUAACUGCUCAAAAGGCAUUGAUUAUAUUUAUGCCUUAAAUUAUAAUUUCAUGACAUUAGUAGUUAAACCAUUUCUCCCAUUUUCUUCUAGCUAUACCAGUUGUUGGAGGAGAUGGCUUGCAUUGAAAGCCUCAUGAUUAUUGGAUGAUGCCUACAGUGAACUUUAACACAAAGACAGUAGAGAAAACCCUUCUGACUGAAGCUGAUGCCUCUUGUACUGAAGUUCCAGAGCCUACGGGGCCUUCCAGGAAAUUCCAACAAGUGAAGGAAAUCAGGUAAGAGACAAUAGGGAGAGGCGGGGGACUGGUGGAAUAUUAGAGAAUCUGGACACCCACUGAAGUGAUAUGGUAUACCAUUUGGCUCAGUUGUGUGGGAUAUGGUAAGUCUAUUAUGGCCAGAUUUUCAUGUUUCUUAGGAGGUACCAGAAAUAUAGAAUUAUACGUGAUAUCUGUCAAUUUGAAAAUGUUUCAAAUUGAAAAAAAAAACCCACCACAUUGGCCUAUAAUAUCCAUUCUUUGCUGGUGAACACACCUUAUAGUUUAACAGUUUGUAACUUCUAUUUUUCCAAAAUGGGUAAUUCCUGGAGCUCUGGGCACUGAUUCCCUAGGAACCACCAGGGACUUUAGCAUGAGAAUGGUGGAGAGCAGACUGAGACACAUAAACGCACAAGGAAGUCUGAGUCAUGUUUUAAACUAUUUGUAUUUUUUUUUUAUUGCAAAACAUUUGUUACAGAAAUUCCAGAAAGUUCUUUGCCUGUAGAAUCUGCCAACUUCUGCUUCAAAUUAUAUAUCUAAACAGACAAGCUCAAAGUGCAUUGUGAAUCCAGUAACAGACCGUUAAAAAAGAACAAUGCCUCUAGAUUUAUAUAUAUAUAUAUUCAUAGUGUCAGUAGAUAUGCAAACCUCUUUCUAUCAUACAUGAAAGAAGGAAAAGAUGUAUAUAUAUAUUUAGUAAACCCAAUUUCAAAAUCAUCAUAUUUAUAGGAAUUCAUUUAAAAAUGGUAUCUGAAUAAUUUCCCCCAUUAUAAACUAUGGUUAGAACAUUUACAAGUGAGAGUCUAAAUGCUAUGUUACGAAAUGGCUAUGAGUAGAGUGUACUGACUACAUGGACUGUCUUACACAGUGGUAGCAGCAAUAGAAACUCAGUUCAGAUGCUCCAGUGACAGGAAGCAGGUAAGUCUUCACAGGCUACAGUAUCCUUCCUCAUAGUCUCCCUCACGCUGAUCCUGUGUUUGGAUCCAGUCAAACAUGCUAAUUAACAUACAUGGAAGUCAUCCAGGAGUCACCCCGAAUAGGGUGAACUGCUUCUCCCAACUCAGAAUUCUUGAGUGUAUUUGAUGUGUUUGCUCUCUAUGUGAGAAUCAUGAAUCAGACCGUGCUUGGCUCCAAAUCAGAGGCCCCCAAACAUGGCCAUUGGGAAUUCUGCUGGCGCAUACCUAUGUGGCUAGUACAGAGGUUGAAAACCCAUAUUUGAAUCUUUCUGUGGGACAUAUAUAUAUAUAUAUUUGCAUGCCCUUGCAUUGUCUUUCCUAGGCCCAUUCCUUUGCAUUCUAGAUCUGGGUCUUGCAUUGAGUUUGUAAUCCCUUCAUAGAGAGAGAGGCAGGCGGCUGGGUGAAGAUGUAGAGGGCCUUUCAGGAUUCAGACAGGCAAUUCAGAAUUGGACAUGACAGGUGCUACAGCAGCCACGUUAGGAACUUGGUUGGAGGGAGGAGGUGAAGUCAACUGGAAGAUCAGACCUGGGUCAAAUUCAGAACAUCUGGCUUUUCCAUGUAGUUGAUGUUUGAGAUUACUGUUUUGGGGUCCAUAGGGAGGUAAUGGAUGAGUCUGUUGGUCUCACACACACGGAAAAAAAAAGGAGCUAGCUUUAGACUAAGGAAAAAGAAAGAAAGAAAAAAAAAAAAAAAGCUGUGCCCCCAGGCCCAAGGCUGAUCACACCCUGUGCCUCACAUUCUUCAGCAAUCCAAAAGGCCUGGAGCCAUAGCUGGCAUUAAUGCCCCUCAGAAUCUAUGGGCAUCUACAUAGAUGUCCAUCCGUUCACUUUCCAGCCCCCAACACCCAUGCGGGGAUCACAUGCUGCAGAAGGUGACCAGUUAUUCCAGGAAAAUUAGGAAAGGAAUCACCUCUUUUGAUUAUUCUGGAUGAUCUGGUUACCUGCACCCCCUCUUAGAUGACACACAGAAAUCAGUACAUCUUGAUUUUAUUAGGGGUGAUCAGCACAAGGAGGUCACGAGAGCAAAGGCCACACUAACACUCUCCGAAAUUAAUUUGAAAAAGAAAAGUGUUCUUCUUUAAUCAGAACCAACCCCCUCUUUUAUUGACUCUAAUCUGAGAGACAAGAUGCUUGACUCGUAGACACCAGAGACAGCACAGGUCAAAGCUGGUGGAGAGGAAAGAUUUCCCUACUCAUUUGGGGAGCAUUUAGACUGUGCAAGUUGGAACCAUCCUUUUCCAGAUGUUGAAUGACUUCUAACAAUGGAACAGCGACUUCUUUAAAGAAGACACUCUUUGGAGUCACCUGGUGCUUCAUCAAAAACACCCUGUUCCCACCUCUGGGCCCAGCUCACCCACAGGGUGUGAAAGCCACAGGACAAGAAGGGAGGUCUCAUCCAUUACCGUGGGACCAUCCACUCAUAGCGAUCUGUGUCUUUCUGUCCUGUCAUCGUGGACCUUUGGCUUUCAUCUCUGGUUUAGCAAUUUGCACCCAGGAAGCCUUAAAGACUGUGUCUUUUGCAUCUCACAGAUGCUGCCACACCUGGACCUCGGGACUCCAGAGUGGGGCUGGCUUGUCGUCUCUGGGUCCCCUAGCUAUUACAACUUGCAGUUGAUACCUUAUUUCAUAGUAUUCGUUCAGAGCUUCACCAGCUUGAAAGAAGAAACCCUUGACUACUUAGUUUUAAUUUUUGAAACCUGAACAUAGUCCCAUUUUAAGAAGCCCAACAAUUUGAGCGGGUCCCUAACUGGCUUAAGCAUUGCAGCAGACAAGAGUAAAAUGUUAAGUGCACUAAAAAAAAAAAAAAAAAAAAAAAAAAAAAAA